rnacentral:rRNA from 1 species
GACGGAAGGUGCAAGCGUUGCUCGGAAUCACUGGGCGUAAAGGGUGCGUAAGCGGGUCUUUUAAGUCAGGGGUGAAAUCCUGGAGCUCAACUCCAGAACUGCCUUUGAUACUGAAGAUCUUGAGUUCGGGAGAGGUGAGUGGAACUGCGAGUGUAGAGGUGAAAUUCGUAGAUAUUCGCAAGAACACCAGUGGCGAAGGCGGCUCACUGGCCCGAUACUGACGCUGAGGCACGAAAGCGUGGGGAGCAAACAGG